UACAUAGGGAGCAAGCGUUAUCCGGAUUUAUUGGGUGUAAAGGGUGCGUAGACGGGAAAUUAAGUUAGUUGUGAAAUCCCUCGGCUUAACUGAGGAACUGCAACUAAAACUGAUUUUCUUGAGUACUGGAGAGGAAAGUGGAAUUCCUAGUGUAGCGGUGAAAUGCGUAGAUAUUAGGAGGAACACCAGUGGCGAAGGCGACUUUCUGGACAGUAACUGACGUUGAGGCACGAAAGUGUGGGGAGCAAACAGG
rnacentral:rRNA from 1 species